GAGAACUGUCAUACCAUGCUGAAAACACCGGUUCUCGUCCGAUCCCGAAGUUACGCAGCAUUGGGUCUGGUUAGUACUUGGAUGGGUGACUGUCUGGGAAUCUCAGAUGCAGUUUCUU
rnacentral:rRNA from 1 species